rnacentral:rRNA from 1 species
AUUGAACGCUGGCGGCAGGCCUAACACAUGCAAGUCGAGCGGAUGAAGGGAGCUUGCUCCUGGAUUCAGCGGCGGACGGGUGAGUAAUGCCUAGGAAUCUGCCUGGUAGUGGGGGAUAACGUCCGGAAACGGGCGCUAAUACCGCAUACGUCCUGAGGGAGAAAGUGGGGGAUCUUCGGACCUCACGCUAUCAGAUGAGCCUAGGUCGGAUUAGCUAGUUGGUGGGGUAAAGGCCUACCAAGGCGACGAUCCGUAACUGGUCUGAGAGGAGGAUCAGUCACACUGGAACUGAGACACGGUCCAGACUCCUACGGGAGGCAGCAGUGGGGAAUAUUGGACAAUGGGCGGAAGCCUGAUCCAGCCAUGCCGCGUGUGUGAAGAAGGUCUUCGGAUUGUAAAGCACUUUAAGUUGGGAGGAAGGGCAGUAAGUUAAUACCUUGCUGUUUUGACGGUACCAACAGAAUAAGCACCGGCUAACUUCGUG